rnacentral:rRNA from 1 species
UAGCAUAAUAAUUAGUUUUUUAAUUAAGAACUGGAAUGAAGGGUCCUACGAGAAAAAGACUGUCUCAAUUUAAUUUAAUUAGAAUUUUAUUUUUAAGUAAGAAAGCUUAAAUAAUUUUAAAAGACGAGAAGACCCUAUAGAGUUUUAUAUUUAGUACUUACUUUAAAAUUAAAGGAUUAUAUAAUUAAUUUAAGUAUAAAGUAUUUGGUUGGGGUGAUUAAAAAAUUUAAUAAACUUUUUUUAUUUUAAAAUUCAUUGAUUUAUGAAUAAGUGAGCCAUUUAUAUAUGAUUAAAAGAUUAAAUUACCUUAGGGAUAACAGCGUAAUUUUUUUUGAGAGUU